rnacentral:rRNA from 1 species
AGAGUUUGAUCCUGGCUCAGGAUGAACGCUAGCUACAGGCUUAACACAUGCAAGUCGAGGGGAAACGAUAGAGAAAGCUUGCUUUUUCUAGGCGUCGACCGGCGCACGGGUGAGUAACGCGUAUCCAACCUGCCCAUCACUUGGGGAUAACCUUGCGAAAGUAAGACUAAUACCCAAUGACGUCUCUAGAAGACAUCUGAAGGAGAUUAAAGAUUUAUCGGUGAUGGAUGGGGAUGCGUCUGAUUAGCUUGUUGGCGGGGUAACGGCCCACCAAGGCGACGAUCAGUAGGGGUUCUGAGAGGAAGGUCCCCCACAUUGGAACUGAGACACGGUCCAAACUCCUACGGGAGGCAGCAGUGAGGAAUAUUGGUCAAUGGACGAGAGUCUGAACCAGCCAAGUAGCGUGCAGGAUGACGGCCCUAUGGGUUGUAAACUGCUUUUAUAAGGGAAUAAAGUGAGUCUCGUGAGGCUUUUUGCAUGUACCUUAUGAAUAAGGACCGGCUAAUUCCGUGCCAGCAGCCGCGGUAAUACGGAAGGUCCGGGCGUUAUCCGGAUUUAUUGGGUUUAAAGGGAGCGUAGGCCGGAGAUUAAGCGUGUUGUGAAAUGUAGACGCUCAACGUCUGCACUGCAGCGCGAACUGGUUUCCUUGAGUACGCACAAAGUGGGCGGAAUUCGUGGUGUAGCGGUGAAAUGCUUAGAUAUCACGAAGAACUCCGAUUGCGAAGGCAGCUCACUGGAGCGCAACUGACGCUGAAGCUCGAAAGUGCGGGUAUCGAACAGGAUUAGAUACCCUGGUAGUCCGCACGGUAAACGAUGGAUGCCCGCUGUUGGUCUGAAUAGGUCAGCGGCCAAGCGAAAGCAUUAAGCAUCCCACCUGGGGAGUACGCCGGCAACGGUGAAACUCAAAGGAAUUGACGG